rnacentral:rRNA from 1 species
ACUAAGCGUACACGGUGGAUGCCCUGGCAGUCAGAGGCGAUGAAGGGCGUGCUAAUCUGCGAUAAGCGCCGGUAAGGUGAUAUGAACCGUUAUAACCGGCGAUACCCGAAUGGGGAAACCCAGUGUGAUUCGUCACACUAUCAUUAACUGAAUCCAUAGGUUAAUGAGGCGAACCGGGGGAACUGAAACAUCUAAGUACCCCGAGGAAAAGAAAUCAACCGAGAUUCCCCCAGUAGCGGCGAGCGAACGGGGAGGAGCCCAGAGCCUGAAUCAGCAUGUGUGUUAGUGGAAGCGUCUGGAAAGGCGCGCGAUACAGGGUGACAGCCCCGUACACAAAAGCGCAUGUGCUGUGAGCUCGAUGAGUAGGGCGGGACACGUGGUAUCCUGUCUGAAUAUGGGGGGACCAUCCUCCAAGGCUAAAUACUCCUGACUGACCGAUAGUGAACCAGUACCGUGAGGGAAAGGCGAAAAGAACCCCGGCGAGGGGAGUGAAAAAGAACCUGAAACCGUGUACGUACAAGCAGUGGGAGCACCCUUCGGGGUGUGACUGCGUACCUUUUGUAUAAUGGGUCAGCGACUUAUAUUCUGUAGCAAGGUUAACCGUAUAGGGGAGCCGGAGGGAAACCGAGUCUUAACCGGGCGUUAAGUUGCAGGGUAUAGACCCGAAACCCGGUGAUCUAGCCAUGGGCAGGUUGAAGGUUGGGUAACACUAACUGGAGGACCGAACCGACUAAUGUUGAAAAAUUAGCGGAUGACCUGUGGCUGGGGGUGAAAGGCCAAUCAAACCGGGAGAUAGCUGGUUCUCCCCGAAAGCUAUUUAGGUAGCGCCUCGUGAAUUCAUCUCCGGGGGUAGAGCACUGUUUCGGCUAGGGGGCCAUCCCGGCUUACCAACCCGAUGCAAACUGCGAAUACCGGAGAAUGUUAUCACGGGAGACACACGGCGGGUGCUAACGUCCGUCGUGAAGAGGGAAACAACCCAGACCGCCAGCUAAGGUCCCAAAGUCAUGGUUAAGUGGGAAACGAUGUGGGAAGGCCCAGACAGCCAGGAUGUUGGCUUAGAAGCAGCCAUCAUUUAAAGAAAGCGUAAUAGCUCACUGGUCGAGUCGGCCUGCGCGGAAGAUGUAACGGGGCUAAACCAUGCACCGAAGCUGCGGCAGCGAACGUAUCACCCAAGACAACUUUACGGAGUUGACGAUUGACGGAGCGAAGCGACGUCAAAGCGUUCAUUAAAGUCGAGUUGGCUUAGGGAUACGUUCGUUGGGUAGGGGAGCGUUCUGUAAGCCUGUGAAGGUGUGUCGUGAGGCAUGCUGGAGGUAUCAGAAGUGCGAAUGCUGACAUAAGUAACGAUAAAGCGGGUGAAAAGCCCGCUCGCCGGAAGACCAAGGGUUCCUGUCCAACGUUAAUCGGGGCAGGGUGAGUCGACCCCUAAGGCGAGGCCGAAAGGCGUAGUCGAUGGGAAACGGGUUAAUAUUCCCGUACUUGGUGUUACUGCGAAGGGGGGACGGAGAAGGCUAUGUUGGCCGGGCGACGGUUGUCCCGGUUUAAGCGUGUAGGUGUGUGUUCCAGGUAAAUCCGGUUCACUUUAACACUGAGGCGUGACGACGAGGCACUACGGUGCUGAAGCAACAAAUGCCCUGCUUCCAGGAAAAGCCUCUAAGCAUCAGGUAACACGAAAUCGUACCCCAAACCGACACAGGUGGUCAGGUAGAGAAUACCAAGGCGCUUGAGAGAACUCGGGUGAAGGAACUAGGCAAAAUGGUGCCGUAACUUCGGGAGAAGGCACGCUGACACGUAGGUGAAGUGAUUUACUCAUGGAGCUGAAGUCAGUCGAAGAUACCAGCUGGCUGCAACUGUUUAUUAAAAACACAGCACUGUGCAAACACGAAAGUGGACGUAUACGGUGUGACGCCUGCCCGGUGCCGGAAGGUUAAUUGAUGGGGUCAGCGCAAGCGAAGCUCCUGAUCGAAGCCCCGGUAAACGGCGGCCGUAACUAUAACGGUCCUAAGGUAGCGAAAUUCCUUGUCGGGUAAGUUCCGACCUGCACGAAUGGCGUAAUGAUGGCCAGGCUGUCUCCACCCGAGACUCAGUGAAAUUGAACUCGCUGUGAAGAUGCAGUGUACCCGCGGCAAGACGGAAAGACCCCGUGAACCUUUACUAUAGCUUGACACUGAACAUUGAGCCUUGAUGUGUAGGAUAGGUGGGAGGCUUUGAAGUGUGGACGCCAGUCUGCAUGGAGCCGACCUUGAAAUACCACCCUUUAAUGUUUGAUGUUCUAACGUGGACCCGUAAUCCGGGUUGCGGACAGUGUCUGGUGGGUAGUUUGACUGGGGCGGUCUCCUCCUAAAGAGUAACGGAGGAGCACGAAGGUUGGCUAAUCCUGGUCGGACAUCAGGAGGUUAGUGCAAUGGCAUAAGCCAGCUUGACUGCGAGCGUGACGGCGCGAGCAGGUGCGAAAGCAGGUCAUAGUGAUCCGGUGGUUCUGAAUGGAAGGGCCAUCGCUCAACGGAUAAAAGGUACUCCGGGGAUAACAGGCUGAUACCGCCCAAGAGUUCAUAUCGACGGCGGUGUUUGGCACCUCGAUGUCGGCUCAUCACAUCCUGGGGCUGAAGUAGGUCCCAAGGGUAUGGCUGUUCGCCAUUUAAAGUGGUACGCGAGCUGGGUUUAGAACGUCGUGAGACAGUUCGGUCCCUAUCUGCCGUGGGCGCUGGAGAACUGAGGGGGGCUGCUCCUAGUACGAGAGGACCGGAGUGGACGCAUCACUGGUGUUCGGGUUGUCAUGCCAAUGGCACUGCCCGGUAGCUAAAUGCGGAAGAGAUAAGUGCUGAAAGCAUCUAAGCACGAAACUUGCCCCGAGAUGAGUUCUCCCUGAGACUUAGAGUCUCCUGAAGGAACGUUGAAGACGACGACGUUGAUAGGCCGGGUGUGUAAGCGCAGCGAUGCGUUGAGCUAACCGGUACUAAUGAACCGUGAGGCUUAACC